CUACGGGGGGCUGCAGUGAGGAAUAUUGCACAAUGGGGGGAACCCUGAUGCAGCAACGCCGCGUGGAGGAUGACGCAUUUCGGUGUGUAAACUCCUUUUAUAUGUCAAGAAAAUGACGGUAGCAUAUGAAUAAGCACCGGCUAACUCCGUGCCAGCAGCCGCGGUAAUACGGAGGGUGCAAGCGUUACUCGGAAUCACUGGGCGUAAAGGACGCGUAGGCGGGUUGGAAAGUCAGGUGUGAAAUCCUAAAGCUUAACUGUAGAACUGCACUUGAAACUUCUAAUCUAGAGUAUGGGAGGGGAGAUGGAAUUAGUGGUGUAGGGGUAAAAUCCGUAGAUAUCACUAGGAAUACCUAAAGCGAAGGCGAUCUCCUGGAACAUUACUGACGCUAAGGCGUGAAAGCGUGGGGAGCAAACAGGAUUAGAUACCCGUGUAGUC
rnacentral:rRNA from 1 species